rnacentral:rRNA from 1 species
GGACGGGUUUAACGCGUGAGAACAUGCCUUUAGAUUGGGGACAACAGUUGGAAACGACUGCUAAUACCGAAUGUGCCUUAGGGUGAAAGAUUUAUUGUCUAGAGAUUGGCUCGCGUCAGAUUAGCUAGUUGGAGUGGUAACGGCACACCAAGGCGACGAUCUGUACUUGGUCUGAGAGGAUGACCAGGCACACUGGAACUGAGACACGGUCCAGACUCCUACGGGAGGCAGCAGUGGGGAAUUUUCCGCAAUGGGCGAAAGCCUGACGGAGCAAUACCGCGUGAGGGAGGACGGCUUUUGGGUUGUAAACCUCUUUUAUCAGGGAAGAAUCGAUGACGGUACCUGAUGAAUCAGCAUCGGCUAACUCCGUGCCAGCAGCCGCGGUAAUACGGAGGAUGCAAGCGUUAUCCGGAAUUAUUGGGCGUAAAGCGUCCGUAGGUGGUUUAUCAAGUCUGCUGUCAAAGCGUGCGGCUUAACCGCAUAAGGGCAGUGGAAACUGAUGAACUAGAGUGCGAUAGGGGUAACAGGAAUUCCCAGUGUAGCGGUGAAAUGCGUAGAUAUUGGGAAGAACACCAGCGGCGAAAGCGUGUUACUGGGUCUGCACUGACACUGAGGGACGAAAGCUAGGGGAGCGAAAGGGAUUAGAUACCCCUGUAGUCCUAGC